GAUGAACGCUAGCGAUAGGCUUAACACAUGCAAGUCGAACGGUAACAGGAAGAAGCUUGCUUCUUUGCUGACGAGUGGCGGACGGGUGAGUAAUGUCUGGGAAACUGCCUGAUGGAGGGGGAUAACUACUGGAAACGGUAGCUAAUACCGCAUAACGUCGCAAGACCAAAGAGGGGGACCUUCGGGCCUCUUGCCAUCGGAUGUGCCCAGAUGGGAUUAGCUUGUUGGUGGGGUAACGGCUCACCAAGGCGACGAUCCCUAGCUGGUCUGAGAGGAUGACCAGCCACACUGGAACUGAGACACGGUCCAG
rnacentral:rRNA from 1 species